UGUAAAGCGUAUUCCUAGUUGGAGUUGGUUGUGCGACAGUUGUCUGCGACAGGUGUCGCACGGUUUUUGAGGUCGGUUGCCGUUGAUAUUGAUAGUUGCCGCCCGCGGUUGCUGUUAGUUUGCCAUGAACCCAUUGCGUGGUGGUGUUGGACCGAUUAAAAGGCAGAAAGGUGCUGCCUCCGACGCCAAGAAGCCCCCAUCACGUCGACGCGUGGUGUGUGGGAUUGACGGGUGUGCGUACAAUGGCGAGUACAGGCUGCAUGCAAGGCACAGGCAGCUGGUGCAUUCUGGAAAAAGAGCGGAAUAUGCCAACAGCUCCUUUGGUGUGGGAGGACGAUUCAGGAGCUGGGUCCAGAAACCAUCUGAGGAUCAAUAUGUCCAUCUUCGGCAGGAAAGCCCAGGUGCUGCCUUGAGAAGUGAGGAGAGUUCACCCCCAGAGGAGACUCCUCAGUCCUGCUCACCAGGCCAAGCAGCUUCCAGCCCAACUCAGUGUGCAACUGAACCCCAAGUGAGUUCAGACAACGUCUGUCAUCGCUCGGAGGAUGUGAUUGGGGAAACAACGGACAACACCGAGUCGGCAACUUGUGGUGGCUGCUGCUCAGUCUGUGGUGUGUCCUGUAAGGCCCAAACUUUCAUGUCGGACGCUCAAAAAGUGCUUCAUGUUUUGGAAGAAAAGUGCCGUGAAUUGGCAAGUGACGCCUUCGUGAGUGAGGCUCGAAAACUAGUCGCAAAACUGGACCAGAAAUGCACGGAACUUCCAGACAAGCUCCCGGCAGUUGCCACUGAGGAUGUAGGUGAGGGAGAGCACAUCAGUGUUCUGUUCCGGUCCGGUCGCAGUAUAUCCACUCUCCAGACGGCGUCAGGUGGCGAACUAAUGGUAGACGAGGAGAAGGGAUAUCUCUAUUGCUCAGUCUGUGUGCCUCAGCCGAAAGACGAACAGAGAAGCAGACCUGGCUUGUUUGCCUACGACUUUUCACUUGGCUCAGUGUUCGCCAACUGUUCCGUGCUGCCACCACGGUUUAAGAGCCUGCGGGACACAGUUGCAAAACAUUUUAGAUCGGAAGGCCAUAAGGCCAUGAAAAAGUCGCGCUGUGAGUCGAACGAGCGCGAAAACGCCCUGCAUGAUGCAAACAAGACGGCGGCAGCGAGGGUUCUUCGAACAGCAUACCUCGUUCUGAAGAAGUCGCUCAGCCAGCUUCUUUUCGAGGAACUCAUUGUCCUCCAGCAUUUGAAUGACGCCUUCAUGGGAAACAUAAAUCACUCGCGCAUGAUGAUGGACACCGCCAGGACGGCGGUCUGCCAGACAUUGCUAUCAAAUCUAAAAGAACACGUAGAAUCUCAACCGUGUGUUGCAGUACUGGCGGACAAAGUCACCAUCGCCCGUCGAACAGUUGACAUAACCGCAAUACAGACCCUUGUGCCGAACGCAGAGCCCGACCACAUCUUCCAGACCUUCGUGGUCGGCGCUCCUGUCGUGAAAAAUCAUGACGGCGAGGCGCUCGCAGCCGACAUCUGCAGCACGCUGUCUGAGGUAGGCGUCACCAACACGGAGAAGAUUGCUGCUGUGGCGGCCGACGGCCAGUUCCACCACAAUGGUGUGCCACAAAAGCUGGCACGACUACUGGAAUCGUCGAGCGGCUGUCCCAUUCCGGCCGUAUGGGACCAGGCGCACCUGAUGAACCUGGCUGAGUCCGAUGCUCGCAAGCACUGUAACAGUAGAUGGGUGAGAGACACCAUUGAAACAGUAACAGAGGUGAACAAGAUGUUCUCCAUCGGCAAGGGAUGGGAGGACCUCAGGCGAUGUGGCGAGGAUAUGGGAGAGCCGGUACUGCGACCAAAGCUGUGGUCUGAAACACGCUUCGCAGCGUACGCUGCGGAGGUGUUUUCCGUCUUCAGACGGAAUGAGAAGCAGCUGCGAGCGGCACUGCGCAGGAAGAGGAUGGAGGAAACGCGACCGUCGCAUCUGAAAGAGCUGGAGAGGCUGCUUGUCUCGCUAAACGGUAAGUACUUCAACCAGGCUCGAUGGAGACAGCUGUGAAGCAGCUGUCGCCCCAAAGUAACCAUUGGGUUAUGUGGUUCUGGUCCUUCUCGCAUGUCUCUCUCAUUUUGUGUUAUUAAUUUUGUCGUUCAAGUGUUGUGCUGUCCGGAUAAGUUGUCACGCAAUAUCAAUUACCAUUCAAGCCUUUCCUUGUUGACCGAGCGCCUUUCACUAACUCAUUGUACUUUGACACCUUUUUAAUUUUUGGAGACGACGAUGAGACAUUAUUCACGAAACCUCAUUUAAAUAUGGCAUCGGAAUGUAGGAAUUACUUUCUAGCUUUUCACUACUUUAAUUAUUGCUGUUAAUGUUGCCGUAGCCAAGAAAUGUGCCACAUAAUUGCGAACAGAACAAGACAUUAUUGCCAAGUUUUAAAUGACAUUAUUUCUUGUUUAUGACCAAUGAUGGUAAAAGCACAACGUAUCUGCUCACAGAUCCAGCGUUUCAUGCCCGCGUGAGGGCGCUGGAGGACAUAUAUGGUGUACUGGGAGCAGCCAGCAAAGCCGUCCAGAGAACGCAGUCCCUGCCGUGGGAGCGUCAUGCUGACCAGCAGGAGGCCGUGGAGACGAUCCGCCGCAUGAAGGUAGCGCUGGUGACACAGCACAAGAAAUCGCCUACCACAGAAGACCUCCUGUGUUUGGCUGAUAAAGACGAGCUGUGGCCUCGCUUAUCAGCGAGCGAGCCAUCAGUUCCAGCAGCGGAGGUCGCCAAGAUCGCCUUCUUCUGCACCAGCAUAAUGGAGCGACUGAAGUUCCGAGGGGCUGGUCAAGAUGUCAGCGGCUCUGACAAGAACACGGCCAAUAAUGUUCUGGGUCAGAGCAUGGCUGAUCUGCGCGCCGUCGCUGACCUGCACCAGCUGGCCGGAUCGACCGUGCCAGUGCCAGUGGCAGCUCGCCUCUACCGAGAGGCAGGGGAGAGGCUGGUCAGAAGAAAGCUGAUCCCAGUGGACACGGUACCGACUGAAGGUGAGAUUCGCUCCGUGCUGCCGCUAUUGCGUCGCCAUCGUGAAGAAACCAACCAGCAGCUAUGGAAGAUGCUGAACCGGCACGCUGAUGACCACUCUGCAAGGGCCCUCACCAACCUGGUCACCCGUAUCUGGCUCCUGUCCCCACCAGAAAGUGUUGUGGAGUCGAUGGGCAGUGUCAUCGCUGAGGUUUUUGGGGAACAUCGGCAGCUGGAACACGGCAACGCUGCGAAAGAACUAAUUGUGAGGUGGAACGGCCCAUCGCUGUGUCGGGCCGACCGCCUCCUCUCGCGCGUCCACCGUCACCUCUCUCGCGACGACAGCUUCCGGUGCGUUCGGAGGACGACCACCAUCGGUCAGUCCUUCCACGGAACAGUUAUUACCCGGCACAAACGGGCCCCUGACCACAGGGCGUGCCUUUGGACUUAGAUAUAGUAAUGCAACCAUGUUUGUAGAAUGCCUGUUAGAUUAUGUAUUGCUUUUAACCCUCGUCCGUAUAGGGGAAGGGGAUCGAACGCCCCACCCGCCUCGGUUUUUCGCGAUAACUCGGCCGAUCGGGACGAAACUUUCAGUACUCUCGAGUCAAUCAAUUUUACACCUACCCAGAAAAUUGCAUGACCCUGACCCAAAUGACCUUUGACCUGUGACCUCUUUCUCGAAACCAUGUUAGGCUGGAAUUGCGAUUCGGCGUGUGGCGGCUCGCAUUGGCCGUUUGUAGUCUUUUUGUGGCUUCAAGCGUUCAAACAUGUGAUAUGAUGUUGUUCCCAUGCAUUAUGGUGGGUGUCAAGGUCGCCUGAAGGUCAGGUCAGGUCAUUGACCUUUGAUGACCUCGGCUCACUUUUUAGUUUUUACCUGUGUCCAGGCUGGUUUUUGGAGCUGGUUUCGAAUUUAGCAUUUAGUGCAUUUGGCAUUUAGCGAAUUUAGUGCCUUUGUAACAUGUUACGAAGCUGUCAGUGGCGGUUGACACCUACUUUGAAUACCCAGCAGGACAUCUACUGGUUGACAUGACCUGACCUGACCCGGCCUGGCUUAAAUGCAUGAAGACAUCAUGCAUUUAUGUCCCGUAUUUGGAUUGUGAAGCCACUGUCUUUCAACGUGAUAUGUGACUGUGGGUGUGUGUGUGUGUUUGAAAUGACGAUGUGAAUGAUAGCAUUUGUCACAGACUUCUCUGUUUCCAUGGAGACAUAGAGAAGUCUGUGCAUUUGUAGAUAAUCUGUUGUGCUUCUGUUACUCCUCUCGUCAAAUUAAAAGAAGAAUACUUGCUGCUA
rnacentral:misc_RNA from 1 species